UGGGGAAUAUUGGACAAUGGGCGCAAGCCUGAUCCAGCCAUGUCGCGUGAGUGAUGAAGGCCCUAGGGUUGUAAGGCUCUUUCACCGGUGAAGAUAAUGACGGUAACCGGAGAAGAAGCCCCGGCUAACUUCGUGCCAGCAGCCGCGGUAAUACGAAGAGGGCUAGCGUUGUUCGGAUUUACUGGGCGUAAAGCGCACGUAGGCGGACUAUUAAGUCAGGGGUGAAAUCCCGGGGCUCAACCCCGGAACUGCCUUUGAUACUGGUAGUCUUGAGUUCGAGAGAGGUGAGUGGAAUUCCGAGUGUAGAGGUGAAAUUCGUAGAUAUUCGGAGGAACACCAGUGGCGAAGGCGGCUCACUGGCUCGAUACUGACGCUGAGGUGCGAAAGCGUGGGGAGCAAACAGG
rnacentral:rRNA from 1 species